CUGUAACUGAUUAUAUUGGUUCUACAGGUUUAGAAUAGUGGAAGUUCUAAGGGACCUUUUCAGCCACCUGCAUGAACUCCCUGCUCAAAGCAGAGCCAAAUGUGAAGGUUGAUGACAUUGCUCAAGCACUGUCCUCUCACUUGGAACAUUCACAAGGACAAAGACACCAGAAUUUCCCUGGGCUGGCUCAAUGUUUGACCAUCCUCACAGUAAAGAACUUCCAUUUAAUCCCUUUGGAGUGUCUGCCAUUGCAACUCAUGUUUGCUGGUUCUUCUCCUUUCCCUCUGCAACUUGAAUAACAAUCUGAUUGUCUUCCCACUUGUCAGCUGAAGGCAGCAACAAACUUCCAGUCAGCCUUACCAAGGGUCAACAAACUGAGCUCUUCCUUGACACAUUCAGUGUGUGGGAUCCUCCAGUCCUCUAACCAUCUAGAUGAUCCUUGAAAUUUUUUGUCCUAAGCUCACCAUUACCUUCAGGCUUGCCUCCUGGAUUACAGCUACAGGCAGAAUGAAAGGGAAACAGCAGUGGAACCACUCCAGACCUCCUGUUCUGCAUCUGCUGUUACAAACCCCAAGGAUUUAGAACUUAUGCACCUGCUACAGAGACAACCUUCCUUAAAUCUAGGAAGGGCAGAAAACUUAACUCAUCCCUUCCGUGCAGAGCAGCUUUGUCCAAGCUGAACACCAACGUGGUACCCAAAUUUCCAGCGAGGAAAGAACACAGCCAGCACCGUGAGCUUCGAGCAGCUGCAGAGCUGAGGAACAAGCGUACUGUGCAGAACUCGCCACACAUCCACCUCCCACCGUGGCAAACCCUAAGCACUUCCACGAACGCCAGGGAUCCUCGCCUGGUUUCGAGCAGCAAGCGGUUUUCCAGCACGUGCUGCUGGAGCGGGAUGGACACAGCGCCACUUCCACGCGCUCCAAAGCCCGCAGGGGCCGCCGCAUGCCCACACCGCCCUCCCUGAGCCCCGCGCCGUGCCCGGGCCCAGCGGGCGCCCUCGGGCCAAGGUCUGCCCGUGCUUGCCUCGAGGGGACGGCCCGCGGGGGACCGUGCCCAGCGGGCUCUCGCCGCCGCCUCACCUUGUUGCAGUAGGGGCAGUAGCUCUUGCUGAAGAUCAUGACGCGGUGCGAGGCGAUGAGGUUCCGCACGCGGAGCUUCAGCCCGUCCCAGUCCGGGAGCCGGGUCUGUACCGGCGGCGGCGGCGCCAUGGCGGCAAGAUCGCCUUCGCCGCGGCGGCCGCGCUGACCCUCGGCCAUGCCCGCCCCUUCCGUAGCCGGCGGCAGGAAAGCCGGGCCGACCUAUUCGGAGGGAGCGAGGGGGGGACAAAACGCCAAGGAGGGCUCUCCACCCUGCAUUUCAGCCACAAGCACUAUGAAUCGUUGUAAAAUAAUAAAAACGUCUUUUAUACCAGA